GACGAACGCUGGCGGCGUGCUUAACACAUGCAAGUCGAACGGAAAGGCCCUGCUUUUGUGGGGUGCUCGAGUGGCGAACGGGUGAGUAACACGUGAGUAACCUGCCCUUGACUUUGGGAUAACUUCAGGAAACUGGGGCUAAUACCGGAUAGGAGCUCCUGCUGCAUGGUGGGGGUUGGAAAGUUUCGGCGGUUGGGGAUGGACUCGCGGCUUAUCAGCUUGUUGGUGGGGUAGUGGCUUACCAAGGCUUUGACGGGUAGCCGGCCUGAGUGGGUGACCGGACACAUUGGGACUGAGAUACGGCCCAGACUCCUACGGGAGGCAGCAGUGGGGAAUAUUGCACAAUGGGCGGAAGCCUGAUGCAGCAACGCCGCGUGCGGGAUGAAGGCCUUCGGGUUGUAAACCGCUUUCGCCUGUGACGAAGCGUGAGUGACGGUAAUGGGUAAAGAAGCACCGGCUAACUACGUG
rnacentral:rRNA from 1 species